rnacentral:lncRNA from 1 species
GGUAGGCAAAGCCUGCGUUGUACAAACAACUUGGUGAAUGCUGGGAUUGCACACAUACAUCAAUCUGUUUCUCAACUUCUCCCAGCAUGUCUAUGGAGGUUAUUUUGGUCUUGUUAAGUUUGUUCCUCCUAACCAACAACAGAGGCUUUUGCUUCCACGACUCAACAUCAUGAGAUAGCAAGACAUUCCAUGAUUUAGAAAAGCACCUUAACUUGCAGAGAUCCUUGGCUAGAAUCUCGAUGACCGACUCCUUCAACUGAAAACAAUGCCUAGCUCCUCCUGCUUUCUCAUCAUUUCCGUCAACACACAACUGAUUCAUUGGAGAUGUGUUCUUGGUUUUGAUAUAUGAUGUUCAGGAACAAGUUGCAGGAUGAGUAUUUAUAGAGGUUGGUGCACUCUGCAAGUAAUGAAUGUUGAUUAACAAAUAGUAGAUGGGAAAGAAGGUUGCUUGUAAACUAGAGCAUCUCCAUAACUUACAUUUUGGCCGGGUUUUUUUUACCCUAUUUUUGGUUGAACAUUUCCAGCCACGUUUUUAUUGUUAGAUAUUUCAAGGAGGAUCUCUGACUUGGUGGUCCUUUCUCAUCCCACUGAUUCUCUAUUUGCCGUCAUUUUUCUUCCAGCGAACAAUCAAAAUCAACACUCUUUGAUUCGUUUUCAGCAUUUC